rnacentral:lncRNA from 1 species
GAUAUGGAGAUCACCUGAGUGGGCCUGACCCAAUCAUGUGAGCUUUUUAAAAGCUUAUAUGGUGUUCUCUGGCUGAUCACAGUAGAAGUCAGAGAGUUUCAAGGCAGAUUCAGGGCUCAAUGAACCGUUGCUUCCUUUGAAGAUGGAGGAAACCUCAUGAAAAGCAAUGUGGACAGCCUCCUAGAGGAGAGAGGGGCCCCCAAAUGGCAGCCAGCAAAGAAAUGGGGACGUUAGAACCUCCUACCUACAGUUAUGAGUAACAGGAUUUUGCCAAUGAUUUGCAUGAGCUCGGAAGUGGAUUACCCUCCAGAGCCUGCAGAUAAGAGCCCCAUUAUGGGCUACUUGAGUUUGGUCUUGUGAGAUGGAGCAGAGAACUCAGCUAACCCAUACCCAGACUUAUGAGGAGUCUGACUUUGAUGUAUCUAGGUGUGGUUCUCUUUGUGAAUACCCUAUAUGGGGUUCAUCGAACUUCUUGGAUCUUUAAGUUGUAACUGGCCCAGACUACUGUGGAGUCUGUCUCCUGCACCUGUGCAACCCCUGAUGUCUCAGCUAAAAAGAGGGGAUCACCAGCAGCCCUAUAUAAGACCAAAGUUUCCUGAGUUUGGGCCUCCUUUCCUUCGAUGCAACCUGACCCUUACUGCGUUACCUACCCCGUGAGGAUUUGAGCUCAAGAAACUGGUGCCAAGACAUUGCUCUGACUGCUGCUUCUGCUGUAGAAGUCUGAGUUUGCUAGGGCAGCCCCUUCCCUCCUUCCCUGUAUUAUUCCUGCCUUCCUGUGUUGAUCACUGUCCUGUGAUGAUGUGAUAUUUGGAGCUGCAGCAGCUAUCUUGUGACCAUGAAGCAACAAGCCUGAGGACAAAAUGCUCAUACACUAAAGGGGCCAGAGUAGAAUUAUGGAAAGAAUAUGGUUCCUGAUGGCAUAAUUGAGCUACCAGACUCACUCUGCAAUCACCAACUCUCAGGCUUCUUGGUCACUGGAGGCACUGCUUUGAUUCAUGGUUUU